UGCCAUUGAACCAGAACCUGGGUGAUCUUCUUUCCCUUGCGCCAAACAUCGUGACUGCCCACUAUAGGUGCUGGAGUAUAAGCCAGGUAGUUGUCCAGAGAAGUGAGUGGCAGAUCAUGGAUCUGAUAGUUGCGGUCAGAGCGGAACGGACGCAGGAGCGAGACAUGGAAAAUGGAGUGGAUCCGAGCCAAAGGUGGUAACUUUAAGCGGUAUGCAACAGGACCAAUACGUUCCACGAUCUCAUAGGGACCAUAGAAUCGCAAGGCCAACUUUUGCGAUGACCGGCAGUGCAACGAGAUCUGCCGAUAAGGUUGUAAGCGGAGGAGGAUAUACUCUCCAACGGUAAAACUCUUAUCCCUUCUCUUUUUAUCCGCUUGGUUCUUCAUUUGUAUCUGAGCUCUGAUCAAGUUGUCCUUUACCUUUGCGAGGAUGGAGGUUCUGGAAGAAAGGACAUCGUCCACAGCUUCGUUUUGGGAGGAGCCCAGUGUAUAUGCUAACAGAUUCGAAGGAGGUCGUCCAAAUGUCACCUGGUAAGGAGUGAAACCUGUAGAGCUGUUGAAUGAAGUGUUGUGAUGGUACUCUGCCCAUGGCAAAUACCGCGACCAGGUGGACGGUUGAUCGAAGGUGGAAGAGCGAGGUCCAAAAGUUGUUGAGUAAUAGAGGAUCACGAUUGGAGAUGAUGGAUCGAGGAAAACCAUGCAAUUUUCCGACAGAGUCCCAAAAUAUUUGGGCAAUUUUAGCAGUCGUGUAGCGUGAAGGGAGCGCCAAUAAAUGAGCACCUUUUGAGAAGCAAUCCACGACCACGAGAAUCGAUGUAUAUCCCUGUGACGGAGGAAGGUGAAGUUGAGAGCAAUUCUUUGAAGAGUACCUAGAAAGCCCGAAUGACCCCCUUGGACGAAAGUAUGGAGAUCGUGUAACAAGUGCGGAAUAAUGGUAGAAGUGGCUGGAAGGAAGAUGCGGUUGCAAAACAGCAACAGUCCGCCCUUGCAUUUCCAUUGCGGCCAUUUGGCUGGUAUUGUAGCUAGGUCUUGAAAAAUUGCAGCACAGAAGUAGUCGGUGUGUAAAUCUUGUAUAAGGAGGGACUUGUAAUCACUAAUAGGGCCACUAAGAACUGUCAAACGGGGUUUCAUAGUGUCGGAGACCCCUUCUGGAUGCCUGGAUAAUGCGUCUGCCAC